rnacentral:tRNA from 1 species
GGGUCCAUAGUUCAAUGGUAGAAUUGACGGCUCCAGACCGUUAGAUGAGGGUUCAAUUCCCUCUGGACCCA